GGGAGAGCCGCGGAGGGGAGAACCACGGCGCUUCCCCGCCCGGCUGCCGCCGCACAGCACCGCCCCGCGGGCGGCGAGGCGAGGCGCGCCGAGCCGAGCGGCGGGGCCACGGGGAGGGGGGGCCCCGCCGCUCGGUUGGGCGCUGAUCGGCUCGCCGGUACCCUCCGUCUCCCGGUAGAACCUGUUGCGACCCUCUCGGCUGGGAGCUCCGAGGGCAGGUGCACGCACCACCCGGCUCCGUUUUCUUUACGAGGCCGGUGGGUUGUCACCGCAGGGUUAGAGAGGAGCUGGAAGGAAGGAAGAAGGCUGGAGACGUGCGUGACCGUGACACCGGUUAUGUGAUAGCCCUAAAAAUACCUCUGAUGGACCCGCGGGUGAUUCUUGCCCAGCAGAAGCACAGCCGACGAACUGGGCGACGUUUGGGGGGUUUUCCCCUGCUCCUUGUUUUCGUGAGUUCUAUGGGCGGAUGAGUUCUUAUGCUUCGGAUAACAGAUGCCUUCGCGAUGAUGAUUUUCUGGGGGAGAGUGCUAUUCCCUCGGAGCUCUCCCCGUCCUUCUCCGCCCAACCCACGCACGGUCUCUGCUUGCGGGGGAGCUCCCUGCGGAGCGGGGAGCGCAGGUAAUGCCUGAGGAAAGCUCCAAGCGAAUAAAAUAAAUUCCGUUAGUGUGGUGCUUUUCUUGAAGCGUCUCCUGAAUGCCGGGCUUUCCUCUCCUCUACAACUUCGCCGCCAGAUCUCCGUCCCGCAUCGCUGCUCUUGCGACAGAACACGGUGCUUGCUCAUCUUCCGUGGGCUCUCCGUGGGGAUUGCGGCUACUCUUUGCUCCUUCUGCUGUGAUUGCAAGAAAAUAAAAAGAGAGAAAGAAAAUAAAAUAGUAAAGGGGGAAAAUAAAAGUUAACGAAAAUUACGUAGUUCGAAGACCGACGGUGUUGAGUGUUGGAUGGUUUUUCUGCGUGCAAAACCCCUGGCACAAGUGAACUCUUUUAGCAGCCUUUUAACUGGUCGUGUAAAAAUUGACUGGUGAUGGAAAGUAGUAAAUAGUGGAAAUAAAGGAUAGAUCUAAACUGUGAA